CAAGUUAUCUUAAAAGUUAAGAAUUUUAUUUACAUUAAAAGUUUGGUCGUGCAAUUCGAUAUAACUUGA
rnacentral:tRNA from 1 species